UGCGAGUUCCUAGGACAGUGUUGGAAAUGUGUCAGCAGUCAUUGCUCAUCACUCUUCCUUUCUCAGAGACCUUAAAGGUGAGCUCACAACUGCAUGUUGGGACUCAGACUGAAGCAUAAGGACAUGUCAGCACUCACUGCAGUAACAAAGGUAUCUAAGGACCACAGCCUCUAGAAGAAUACAGUGCUGUUGACAGACAACCUCAGACUCCUGGGCUUCAGACUGUGUGGACAUAGAGAUUUAUGCAGAAGAACUGAAGGUCUCACCAAAGAAUAGUGGCCCAUUUUUUGUUUUCCUAGAAUGAAAUGAAUCAGAAUUUGACAUAAAAGGCUGUUGUUAAAACCUCAA